UUUAUCCGUUUCAUAAAGAAUUUUCAGGGUUUUUUUGUAAGGUUCUGAGAAACCUAAAAACUUUUGAUUUCACUUUGAAUUUCUUAUCUGAUCAUUCACAAUCAUAAUCGAUUUGUAACCUUGUUACGAUUCUCAUCAUUUUGAACUAAUACCUACGAAUCAUUUCGAAAACAUUUCAUCACCAAGUUUUAGGGUUUAUCGUUAUGAUUCAACUGAUCUAUUAAUCGUUUGAUCCGAUUUUAAAAUUGAUUUCAGAUUCGUAAUUAGUGAAUCUAAAUCUACAUCACCCAUCUGAUGUUUUUGAACGGGAACUACUUUCGGAUUUGGACCUAUUUAGAAUUUAUCUGUUAUUAAUUUAUUUUCAUAGCUUUCCUGCUAUUGCAACAAGAUAAUAUGGUUUUCAACCUCUGAUUAUUGAUAACUAACGCAGAGAACUUUCCUUGGCUGUUCCCGGAAAUGUUCUUAAGUUACAUCUUUUUAGAAACCUCAGUCAAAGUUUUAAAUGCAACCAACUCAAUUAAAGGGGAAAUACAAGUAGACUAUGAGAUAGAUUGAUCUGAUGGAGAAGAGGGUGGUUAUGGCAGAGUCGAUGCUGGAGGGUACAUUACAGUACCAAUCUGGUCAAGCUAAGUGUUCAAAUCCAUCAAGAUUCACCAACCUCAUUGAUUUCGAUCAAAUUCAGUUGAAAUUGUCAUUGGGGAUUUUAUCAAUGCUGAAUCUGGUGAUUCUACAAUGCCAUGGUUUGUGCUGGCUGAUUGCCUAGCCAAGAAAGGUGUUCGAUUAAAUAAAGGUCAGGUGCUUACUUUCUCUUCCAGGCCUGCAUUUUUUUGUCGAGGAUGGAGUGGCCAUCUGAAUCACAAAUUGUAUUCUGUUAAUACUUGCAAAGUUUAGCCUUUGUGAGCUAUUUUUUUGGUCACAAUUUGUUCUUAAAAUUGGUUAUUUGGUAGUGAAAUUUCAUUGAUUUGGCAAAACCCAUAAAUAUCAGUAUUAUUUAUCACUUAUCAGGUAAUCUCUGUUUUGAGGUACAACAGAAAACUACUUGACGAAAAGGAAUUUGGAGAAGCUCUAUAUGGGAGUAUUCAUUAUGAGCUUUUUUUUCUCUUCAGCCUCAAGAGUCAUAAUAUACUUAUGUCGGUAACAUAUUGAAUGACCUUACUUUUGGGGAGGGAGGCUGAGUUAUAGUGUAGGUUCUAAAGGUUUUCUUCAACUGAACUACCAUUUGAUGUGGCUGAGUUAUAGGUGAGUUCUUUAACGCGACACAAUGCUUUCUUGCUUUUCGCCAUCAAACAUUGACGUCUGUCUUGCGAAGCAUCUUAACUUGCAAACCUUAACUGUCUGAAUGAUUCAAACCUUCAACUAUAGCUAAUGAAUAAAGCUUUUUUUUCCAGUGUAGGUUCUAAAGUUUUUCUUCAACUGAACUACCAUUUGAUAGGGUUGAUUUCUUAUUUUGUUUCCUCCUCCAUCAGAAGUCAGAACUAAGGUUUGAUUAGCUGUUUUCUUUCGUUUUGAUUGUAACUUCCGUUUUGCGACUAUGUCUGCACAAGCUGCUUUGAAACCAACUCAGGCACCUGGGUGUCAUGAAGCGGGAGCAACCUGUUCGACUGGAACAUCUCCUAAUUCCUGAUCUGGAAGGGUGUUACCCAAGACAGGAAUUGAAGGAAAGCCGUUUUGGUACGUGGAUGAUCCUGAUCUUGUCGUGCUAAGGCAAUCAAAUAUGUAGGAAUUGAAGUUUGGCAAGCUGGGCUAAUGAUUAUGGGUUCUAAUACUCUUUUAGCCUUUGCUUUUUUCUUUUUGAUGUGGUCUUCUUCGAUGUUGUUUGGACUAAGAAUUUGUAUGACAGAACUUUUACAAUAUAUACCAAAUUUGUUUUGAAG